rnacentral:rRNA from 1 species
AGAGGGGGGAUGGAAUUCCGCGUGUAGCAGUGAAAUGCGUAGAUAUGCGGAGGAACACCGAUGGCGAAGGCGAUCCCCUGGACCUGUACUGACGCUCAUGCACGAAAGCGUGGGGAGCAAACAGGAUUAGAUACCCCUGGUAGUCCACGCCCUAAACGAUGUCAACUGGUUGUUGGG